UGUAAGUGUUUCAUUUUCUUCAUUUCAACCUUUCUAUGUUAUGAGAGUUGUAAAAUUCUAUUACUAUGCACUAACCGCAAAGAGUCAUGUUCAUAUAAUGCAUAACAUGAUGAAUGACUGAAAUUCUUAAAAUCUACAAUCAAUAACGUUAACCAGAAGAGAUCUCAGGGAUACGUGGUCCCAUUAAGUGAAGCCCACUUUAUAGACUUGUGCAAUUAUAUAUUCAAUCAAAUUUCCAUGAAAAUAGCACUUCCCUAUCACAUUAGUAAAAUGCUUUCGAAUUAAUCUUUGCUACAUCCUUAUAAAAUUACCACCAUCCUGGGUAUUGAAAAAUGGAUAAAUUCGUAGUUAAAUAACCGGUGUUCACAUCUUUUUCCAUUUUAAAACAAAUAGUCUCUUGCAUAUCUUGUUUAUUUUUUGCCAUGAUUUUAUCAAUAUGAGCAUCCUCAAUGUCGUCAUCAUCCUUGGUUAAGUCAAUUUCUUCUUCACGAUUCUGUGUUUCAUCUUUCAGCUUAGGUUCGAGAGGCAAUUUAUCAUCAAGUGUUGUCAUAUGGUAUUCUCCCUUAAUAACUAUUAAAGAGCUAUGAGCAAUAGGCUUCUCAUUCUGGAGA
rnacentral:lncRNA from 1 species